CCUGGCUCAGGAUGAACGCUAGCGGCAGGCUUAACACAUGCAAGUCGAGGGGCAUCGGGAGUAGCAAUACUUGCCGGCGACCGGCGCAAGGGUGCGUAACGCGUGAGCAACAUGCCCGUAUCAGGGGGAUAAUCCAUGGAAACGUGGUCUAAUACCCCAUAGUAAUUAUGUAAGGCAUCUUAUAUAAUUUAAAGCUUUGGUGGAUACGGAUUGGCUCGCGUGACAUUAGCUGGAUGGUAAGGUAACGGCUUACCAUGGCUACGAUGUCUAGGGGUUCUGAGAGGAAGGUCCCCCACACUGGAACUGAGACACGGUCCAGACUCCUACGGGAGGCAGCAGUGAGGAAUAUUGGACAAUGGAUGGAAAUCUGAUCCAGCCAUGCCGCGUGCAGGAAGAACCGGCCCUAUGGGUUGUAAACUGCUUUUGUAUGGGAGCAAUAAGGGCUACGUGUAGUCCGAUGAGAGUACCAUACGAAUAAGCACCGGCUAACUCCGUGCCAGCAGCAGC
rnacentral:rRNA from 1 species